rnacentral:rRNA from 1 species
AAAUUGAAGAGUUUGAUCAUGGCUCAGAUUGAACGCUGGCGGCAGGCCUAACACAUGCAAGUCGAACGGUAACAGGAAGCAGCUUGCUGCUUCGCUGACGAGUGGCGGACGGGUGAGUAAUGUCUGGGAAACUGCCUGAUGGAGGGGGAUAACUACUGGAAACGGUAGCUAAUACCGCAUAACGUCGCAAGACCAAAGAGGGGGACCUUCGGGCCUCUUGCCAUCGGAUGUGCCCAGAUGGGAUUAGCUAGUAGGUGGGGUAAC